rnacentral:rRNA from 1 species
ACGUGGUAGGAGAGCGUUCUGUAGGCCUGUGAAGGUGUCUGGUAACGGAUGCUGGAGGUAUCAGAAGUGCGAAUGCUGACAUGAGUAGCGUUAAAGGGGGUGAAAAGCCCCCUCGCCGUAAGCGCAAGGUUUUCUACGCAACGUUCAUCGGCGUAGAGUGAGUCGGCCCCUAAGGCGAGGCAGAGAUGCGUAGCUGAUGGGAAACAGGUCAAUAUUCCUGUACCGAUGUGUAGUGCGAUGUGGGGACGGAGAAGGUUAGCUCAGCCAACUGUUGGAUAUGUUGGUUCAAGCCUGUAGUCGUGCUCGGUAGGCAAAUCCGCCGGGCUUAGAUGAGGGGUGAUAACGAGGCUGCUUGCAGCCGAAGUGAGUGAUACCCUGCUUCCAGGAAAAGCCACUAAGCUUCAGCUACACACGACCGUACCGCAAACCGACACUGGUGCGCGAGAUGAGUAUUCUAAGGCGCUUGAGAGAACUCAGGAGAAGGAACUCGGCAAAUUGAUACCGUAACUUCGGGAGAAGGUAUGCCCCAAGUAGGUGAACCUGUACAAGGCGAGCCCAAAGGGGUUGCAAAAAAUCGGUGGCUGCGACUGUUUAAUAAAAACACAGCACUCUGCAAACACGAAAGUGGACGUAUAGGGUGUGACGCCUGCCCGGUGCUGGAAGAUUAAAUGAUGGGGUGCAAGCUCUUGACUGAAGUCCCAGUAAACGGCGGCCGUAACUAUAACGGUCCUAAGGUAGCGAAAUUCCUUGUCGGGUGAGUUCCGACCUCCACGAAUGGCGUAACGAUGGCCACACUGUCUCCUCCUGAGACUCAGCGAAGUUGAAAUGUUUGUGAUGAUGCAAUCUCCCCGCGGAAAGACGGAAAGACCCCAUGAACCUUUACUGUAGCUUUGUAUUGGACUUUGAACAGAUCUGUGUAGGAUAGGUGGGAGGCUUUGAAGUGAGGUCGUUAGAUCUCAUGGAGCCAACGUUGAAAUACCACCCUGGUGUGUUUGAGGUUCUAACCUAGGUCCAUUAUCUGGAUCGGGGACAGUGCAUGGUAGGCAGUUUGGCUGGGGCGGUCUCCUCCCAAAGCGUAACGGAGGAGUUCGAAGGUACGCUAGUUACGGUCGGACAUCGUGACGAUAGUGCAAUGGCAUAAGCGUGCUUAACUGCGAGACUGACAAGUCGAGCAGAUGCGAAAGCAGGACAUAGUGAUCCGGUGGUUCUGUAUGGAAGGGCCAUCGCUCAACGGAUAAAAGGUACUCUGGGGAUAACAGGCUGAUACCGCCCAAGAGUUCAUAUCGACGGCGGUGUUUGGCACCCUGAUGUCAGCUCAUCUCAUCCUGGGGCUGUAGCCGGUCCCAAGGGUAUGGCUGUUCGCCAUUUAAAGAGGUACGUGAGCUGGGUUUAAAACGUCGUGAGACAGUUUGGUCCCUAUCUUCCGUGGGCGCUGCAGAUUUG